UACAGAGUACUGAAGAGUUCCGAAGCAAGAAAUGGCAAGACAUAGAGAUAAUUCCGCGUGGUGUGGAGCCAUCAACUGCUCCAAUUCCAAGCUUCGAAACCCAGAACUGUCAUUUCAUCGUAUCCCAAGUGAUGGUGUCAGAUGCUGGAAAUGGGUGCAAAGCAGUAGAAGGACUGAUCUCUUGGACAAGUCAGUUGAGUUUCUAUACAUGAACAUCAAGUUCUGCUCUCUACACUUUGAGCCAUCACAGUACCACCGAAACAGCAAGCGUCUCCGAAGAGAUGCAGUUCCAACUCUUUUUGACUUUCCAAAUGCGCCCAAGCAAGUUACUCCAAAAAGACCUCUGAGUGCCAAACCAGAGACAAACACAAAUCUGAGAACAGACAAAAACACAACAAAACCAGAGGAAGCUCCUGGCCGUAGCUGGAGUGACUUUGAGGACAUGGUUGUAAAUGAAGAUCCCGAUAGCCCAGAGAGUGGUGACGAAAAUCGGCCGCCGAUCCCAGCUGUACGGGCAACCAGCGGCUCCAACCACUACAGGUGUGCAGUGAGACGCUUGAAGAAGCAAAAUCGACAGCUGAGAAGGGCCCUCAGAGCUGCCCGAAAGGUAACAUCAGCGCAGUCCGUGUUGGAAAAGGCAAGUUUGUAUCUCAACCCAAGGCAGCUGGCAUUUUUCAAAAUGCAGUUGGACCUGUCCUCAUGUGCAGUGCGUGACAGACGAUUCACGGAUGAGCAGAUCAUAGAGUGUCGGGCACUGUACGACCAGGGGCCCCGGGCCUAUCGUUAUCUAAGAAAGCAGUUUGUGUUGCCAAGCCCUAGGAGUCUGACGAAGCAUUGAAUCCAUUUGCUGCCCGGCCCGAUGUCAUUCAGAUUAGGCCAUUUUUCGGAAGCAGACGACUGCUGUAUGGGGGUGCAGAUGACCAUGUGAGGCUAGGCUCAGUAUCUUUCGAUAAAAUGCAGCUCCGUCGCAAACUGGCGUACGAACACGGAGACGACGCCAUCAAAGGCAUAAAGGCCGCUGGGGGCAGUGCCAGGAAACCAGAGAGAAACGUGUAGAGUGCGAUCGGGAAAUGCUUUACCUACGCACCUGAAGACUGCGUGUAGACUUGGACAUUGGCAGCCUCAUGGAGCCUUGGAGCCACGACCCGGCGACCGUCCCGCACCUAACCCUCGCCGAUGGCCGGCCGCGUGCGUGGCUCGCUAAGUUUCUGGUGCUAACCCGGCCAGCGGCUAGGAGGCGACCGUGUGUGAUUCACACAACGAUACGAUGCACGGCUGGACAACAGCUUGAUGUGUGGGAAAAUGGAAAGGUGUUUUGCAAUAAAAUGAGUCAAGUGUUUUGUCAGGUGUUUUAACCAAAUGUGUUAUGAAAUGAAUUUGUGAGUGGAGUGGUGUCGAUGCUUUGUGUGCUUGUUCACACAUUCGCCCCAGCUGUUACCGGAUAUCAAUAUUACAGAGCUGUGAAUAU